rnacentral:lncRNA from 1 species
UUUAAACAAAGAAAAAGUAUAAUUUAAAGAUGGCUGUUUAAGGAUCAAAUUGCAGCAAUUGGUAAAAGUAGAUAUUAGUCAUAUUUAUUAAGUGACACACAAUGAUACUGAAGGCACUUAUUUCUCAAGAAACAUCAUUUUUUCCCAGCAAGAACAUACUACAUCCUAAACAUGAAAUGAAAAUAAGCUUGAAUUUUCACCACAGGAGGGCGACAAUCAGAGAACUGAGGUGGUACAGAUCCAUUAGAGGACCAUAUCCAUGAGUCUAUCAGUCUCUACUGUAGGACAGAGCAAGAAUUUUUAAAGAAUCUCAGUGAAGGCUCCUUUUCAAAAAAAUACAAAGAUUAAAGCCUUUGAAACGUAAAUUAUUUUUUCCAGUUAUUACAUUGAGGACAAAGUUAUAGUUGCAAAGUUAAGAUUUUUAUAACUAUCCCUAAAAUUGAUUUUCAGUGACUCUCUUGAUCUACAUAUGUUAAGGAAAAAGGCAAGAUGAAGAUGUGUUAAAUAUCUUACAGUUUUUAAUCAGCUUUAAUACAAGAUUUUUAAAGAAUCUCGGUGAAGGUUCCUUUUCAAAAAAAUACAAAGAUUAAAGCCUUUGAAACGU